rnacentral:tRNA from 1 species
GCCGAAGUGGCGAAAUGGUAGACGCGCAUGGUUCAGGGCCAUGUAGAAGCAAUUCUGUGAGGGUUCAAGUCCCUCCUUCGGCA